CGGGUACUGGUGCCGCCCGCGGCCGGUUGCUGGCCAACCCCUGCGUGUCCCCGCAUUCAACGCGACACCGCUUAGUGCUCCCGUCGUUGUUCCACGAGACCGAUCCGUCCUCCCGUCGCCGUCGAUCCUCCUCAGCCUGCCUUCGGAUCAGAAAGAUUUACUCUAGCUCCUGGGUGGCGACGCUCAAUCUGAUGAAUCGCUGGGAACCCCCGCUGGCUCAAGGUUUUCUAUCCGUCCACUUACCUCUCCCACUGGUGUGCACGGCGAGUGCGACGGCAACCAGGUUUUCUAUCCGUCCACUUACCUCUCCCACUGGCGUGCAUGGCGAGUGCGACGGCAACAGCCAGUGGCCACUGGUGGCUAAAGCUGCCUUGAUGCAUGUGUUAUGGAAGAUGAAACGAGAGGCAGCGGAG